AUUUUAUUCACAAAAUCUCCCUUUUCUCCGUAACUCUCUGCUCAAAUAACUCAGAAGGCUGGAAGCUGACAUUUGAUAUUUACACAGCUCAAAAUCUGGAUACUCACUAAUGUCUUAGCUGUUCUACAUACUCUACUACUGUCUAGCCACCACCCCCCACCCUCCGUCGCCAUCUUUGUUCUUAAAUCACAAUAUGAAUGAAGAGCUCAGAGGCUGGAUAAAUCAAAUCCCCAUCAUCCUUCCCCAGCCCCAUGCCACAUAAUCUGUUAGAAAAUCCUACUUUAAAAAUCAUCCUCUUUUUGGG
rnacentral:lncRNA from 1 species